CCUACGGGUGGCUGCAGUGGGGAAUAUUGCACAAUGGGGGAAACCCUGAUGCAGCAACGCCGCGUGGGUGAAGGAGCGCCUCGGCGCGUAAAGCCCUGUCAGCGGGGAAGAAGAAAGAGGUAACUGGACCAAGAAGCCCCGGCUAACUACGUGCCAGCAGCGGCGGUAAUACGUAGGGUGCAAGGUUUACUCGGAUUCACUGGGGGUAAAGGGUGCGCAGGCGGGCUUGUAAGCCAGAUGUGAAAGCCUGUAGCUUAACCACAGAACUGCAUUUGAAACUGUGAGGCUAGAGUGUGGGAGGGGUAGGCGGAAUUCGUGGUGUAGCGGUGAAAUGCGUAGAUAUCAAGAGGAACACUGAUUGCGAAGGCGGCCUGCUGGA
rnacentral:rRNA from 1 species